AAGGAAUUCGGGCAGUAGAUGAACUAAUGUGUAAACAACAGGACAUAAGGAAGAAAAAGAUGUGUGUGUUGAUGCUUAUACAAGUUAUUUGAUCAGUUGAAAAGAUUGAAAAAAUCUUAAAUUCACAAAGUUCUAAAGAAACCUCUGCACUAGAAGCAAGCAGGUAAGCAUUUUUUUUUUUAACUAAGUAGCACAUAAAUUAAUACUUCACAUCCAGUCUAAUUAGGCGGGGACGGCUUAGUUAGAAUUCAUUUCUAAACAAGAAGAAAAUCCAGGUUUGUGGCUAGAAUGUAGCUCCAGGAGAGUGGAGAGCAUGAAAUGGUGAAAUCUAUAACACGUUCCUAUAAACCCUUUGGUUAUAGACCACAGUUCCAACACGUCAUUAUGCUUGCAGUGGAAAAGUAUAUUUGGAACCACCUUCCCUGAGGACUAGCAAAGUCCUGUUGAUCUUUAAGGCAUACCUACCAUUCAUCUUGGUUUUUCUCCAUCUCAUUUUUUUUCCUAGACAUGCCCAGAGUAUUACCAUUGAUGUAUUUUGCACCAGCAUUAUAUUAUUAUGAAACAGUAUAGGGCACAUCCAGUUGAAAUUUACAAACAGGAAAGAAAAAGCUUAUGAAAUAGGAAAAAGAUGAUGGCUCUCUUUGUUAUACUGUGAUUGUCUUGUUCCCUUCCUGGUGUGAAUUUUCAAUCAGCCAGGGUAGAUGAGUGACUCAGAAAAUGAGUAGUUAGGUCCUGUCAGCACCGUGAGACACACAGUGGUGCAGUGGGAGUAGCCCGGGCUGGUUCUGCACAUACCAGCUGGGCUGCCUGCGUCAAGGUCGCAUGGUGCCCUGCGUGCCCUGCGUGCUCUGUUAUGUGAGGCUAACAGUCCCUCCCCCUGCAGGCGGAGUUAGGUUUCUAAAUUUUAGGAAUUAAGGUUUUAGAUUUGGAAGGAACUUGAGAGACCAUAUGCUCCACAUGUCUCAUGAUGGAGAUUAAGAACGGACACAUCCCAAAGGAAGCGAUUCUCUGGUCCUAGGUCUCUGCCCCCUUUCACAUCAAGGCAUUCAACUAAGUGGUCAGCCUCCACUGUGCUUGUGUCUCUAGCCCGUUGCACUCGUGCUUCUGCCCCGUUCGUCCACACUUAGCAGACAGUCUGUACGCGGCCCUUCUGCAGCCCAUGUGUCUCCAGCGGCUCUGCUUUGCUGCAGCCCUUGGCAGCACCUGCAGCCCCUCCGGCCAUGUCCACGUUCGGCCCCUGGGGAGCUGGCCUUCCAGUGUUCUUCCCGUCUUUGCUGUUGCUGCUGUGCUCCUCGGAUAGAAACACCUCAGUGAGCUCUGUGUCUACAAUCCUGUCCCUUUGCAGCACUGUCCUUGAUAAACAGAUAUUGUGCGCUUUCUUGCUCAGAAUUACCUUGGAGGACUUUUUUCUCCAGAAGAGUAGCUCUGAGCUCUGGAGUCAGGAAAGCCAGAGCAGAGUCAGCGCACGGUAAAUCCAUCAUGCUCUUCUAGGCCCAGAAAUGCCGAGAUAAGGAUAAAUAGGAAAUGCGCAUGGGAUCAGUCAGUAGAGGUUGGGAUUAGGCUUCUUCAUUGGUCAUGCCCAGCGCCUGCCUUCCCUCCACACCAGUUCUGAUGCUCUGGGACGGAGCACACCGUGGCAGGUCUCCAGACAUUUUUGGGUUUCCUUACAGUGUGUUUCCUCACUACCUGACUGCCCAUCCUCAGAUGUGGGAUGCCUCAUAGAGCCCAGCAGGGGCUUUGGGGUCUUUGUUGUGUUUUUUUUUUUUCUUUCACUGUUCGGCUUCCUUUUGAAUGGGGUUGACACUUUCUAAUGUGGGGGGCAAGAGGGAAGUGUAUCCAGUCCACUUGAUGGCAGAUGCACUGUGAGUGAUUUCUCACCAGCUCCAGGAGCACCGAGCUUGCUCUUUCUGCCGUUGGGUAAAUGUAAACUUGGAGUCCGCUGCUCUGAGCGAUUUCCCAGGUUGCUGCUAGGCGGUCAGUUUUAGCUGAUUGAGGAGACAGCAGUAGUUGGUACUGGGGAGGUACUUGGGAGGGAGAAUGAGGCAGGCAGAGAAGAGGGGGAUUCGCGUAUGAACGGUAGGACAGGGCAAGAGAGAGGAGGGGGUUAGAGAAUGGGAGAAGAAGGGAGAAGAAGGGCACGAAUGGGAGAGCCCGAGGAACGUGGUGGAAACAUGCAGUUGUACCCACACUGACCUAAAAUAGCUCCAUCCCCUUGCCUGGGCCCUGUGGCCCGGGCCAGGCUGCAUCGGUGGCUUCUAUGACCUCCCCGCUCCUCACCCCUCGCACCUGGGGCCUGCUGCACAGACAGUUUGUCCUGAAAAUUGAUGGCGUGCAGGUGCAGGUGCCUGAGCGCUGUAAGGCAUGGGGGGCGGUGGGGGUGGCAGGUUUUAACUUUGGGAAUUACACUUCUCUAAUUGUCUCUACUAGCCCUCUCUGGACUAGAGAGAUUUUGGAGAGAAUUGCCACAGAAUUUAACCAGUUACAGUUUCAUGCUGUUCAGAGCAAAGGCAUGCCUCUUCUGGACAAAGUAAGACCACGUAUAGCCCACAUUACGGCCAUGCUGCAGCAGUCCCUGGGAGGCCUGUUGCUAGAAGGGCUUCAGACUUCCAAUGUGGACAUCAUACGGCACUGCCUCCGGACUUAAGCUACAUUUGACAAGACACGGGAUGCAGAGGCGUUCGUUGGUCAAGUACUGGUGAAACUGUACAUGGAUGAGGUGAUUGUAGAGCAGAUCGUUGAGUCUCAUCCGGACGGCCUGAAGAUCAUGUAUGCUAAUAAGCUCCUGGAGUUCGUUCCUCACCACUGCCGCCUUCUUCGAGAGGUCACAGGAGGAGCCAUCUCAAGGAAGAAGAGAUUAGGACACAGACAGUACAGACUGAAGGACAAUCGUUUGAAGACAGAGUGGAGAACACAGCUAUCUGCAAGCCAAGGAGAGACGUUUGAAGAAUCGAACCCUACUGCCACCUUGAUCUUGGACUUCCAGCGCCCAGAACCAUGAGAAAAUAAAUUGCAUGUUGCCUAAGCCACCCGGCUGUUGAUAUUUUGUUUAUGACAGCCCAUGACUCAGAAAUUUGAGGAGCUCCCCCUCAGACUUUAUCCUGAAGUUCUGUUUCAGCUUCAGGGGCUUGUGUAAUACUACUGUAUCAAGGAGGGAGGCUCCUGCCAUUCCCUGCACUGGGUCAUUGAGACACUGCACAGCUGUCCCCAGGGCUGGCUACAUAAUUUACAAGCCCCAUGCAAAAUGAAGAUAUAGGGCCCUUUGGGCAAAAACAGGGAGGAAGUGUUUGUUAAAGGUACUAAAAUAGAAAGCUCAUUUCCUCCAUGGUCUGUCUUCUGAA